UCCCUGGUAGCUCAGAUGGUAAAGCGUCUGCUUACAAUGCGGGAGACCUGGGUUUGAUCCCUGGGUAGGGAA
rnacentral:tRNA from 1 species